CUUGAUGGAGCCCAGCCACAGGGGUUCGCCGGUCUCCGGGCGUUCCUGGCCGUAGGUGGCGAUGAGGGCUUGGGCCUC
rfam:Streptomyces alboflavus strain MDJK44, complete genome.